CCGCUUUCGCCGCCCGAGAUGUGGCUCAAGCGCAAGCUCAAGGGCGCAUACCUAGGGUUGGCUUCCAUGGAGCGAUCCAUUAAGUGCCAGCGAUCGCGCAUAUCUUGGCUCCGUGACUCCCUGCUCUCCUACCUCAGCGUGCAUGCCUCUCGCCGGAAGCAGCGCACCCUGAUCUCCUCCCUCCGCGUUGACGACCAUCUGGUCAUCGAACACGCCGCCAUGGCCGAGGCGGCCUUCAACUACUUCUCCGGUGUCCUUGGCUCAUCGGAUGAGCGCGCCUUCUCCCUGGACCAAUCCCACCUGCACGCGGCAACUUUUGACCUAUCUGACCUGGAAGCGCCUUUAUUAGAGGAGAUUUGGCAGGCCGUUAAAAGCCUACCGACCGGAAAGGCUCCCGGCCCGGAUGGAUUCACGGCCGAGUUCCUCCGUGCCUGCUGGGACAUCAUCAAGAUCGACAUCUGUGAAGCUUUCAACAAGCUGUACACCGCCAAUGGGCGUGGGUUCCAAAAGGUAAAUGAAGCACUCCUCACUCUUCUGCCUAAGCGGCCGGACGCCGCUGCCUUAUCCGACUAUCGCCCCAUAAGCCUCAUCCACCUCAUUGCAAAGCUCUUUGCAAAGGUGUUGUCCCUGCGGCUCGCUCCUCGGCUUGGGGCCAUGGUUUCGACAAACUAG
rnacentral:rRNA from 1 species